rnacentral:rRNA from 1 species
GGAUUAGAUACCCUGGUAGUCCACGCCGUAAACGAUGGACACUAGUUGUUGGAGGGCUUGACCUUUCAGUGACGUAGCUAACGUGUUAAGUGUCCCGCCUGGGGAGUACGUCCGCAAGGAUGAAACCCAAAGGAAUUGACGGGGGCCCGCACAAGCGGUGGAGCAUGUGCUUUAAUUCGAUGCAACGCGAAGAACCUUACCUGGUCUUGACAUAUCACUGACCUUUCUAGAGAUAGAAUUUUUUCUUCGGAAACAGUGAAUACAGGUGCUGCAUGGUUGUCGUCAGCUCGUGCCG